CUUGGUGACACUUCCGCGCUGGUCACACCCGUUCCCAUCCCGAACACGGCAGUUAAGCAGCGACGGGCCGAUGAUACUUGGGGCCAACCCGUCCCUGGGAAAGUAGGUGGUCGCCAGGA
rnacentral:rRNA from 1 species